UUAAGCGACUAAGCGUACACGGUGGAUGCCCUGGCAGUCAGAGGCGAUGAAGGACGUGCUAAUCUGCGAAAAGCGUCGGUAAGGUGAUAUGAACCGUUACAGCCGGCGAUGUCCGAAUGGGGAAACCCAGUGCAAUUCGUUGCACUAUCGUUAACUGAAUACAUAGGUUAACGAGGCGAACCGGGGGAACUGAAACAUCUAAGUACCCCGAGGAAAAGAAAUCAACCGAGAUUCCCCCAGUAGCGGCGAGCGAACGGGGAGCAGCCCAGAGUCUGAAUCAGCUUGUGUGUUAGUGGAACGGUCUGGAAAGUCCGACGGUACAGGGUGAUAGUCCCGUACACCAAAAUGCACAGGCUGUGAACUCGAAGAGUAGGGCGGGACACGUGGUAUCCUGUCUGAAUAUGGGGGGACCAUCCUCCAAGGCUAAAUACUCCUGACUGACCGAUAGUGAACCAGUACCGUGAGGGAAAGGCGAAAAGAACCCCGGCGAGGGGAGUGAAAAAGAACCUGAAACCGUGUACGUACAAGCAGUGGGAGCACCUUCGGGUGUGACUGCGUACCUUUUGUAUAAUGGGUCAGCGACUUAUAUUCUGUAGCAAGGUUAACCGUAUAGGGGAGCCGCAGGGAAACCGAGUCUUAACUGGGCGUUAAGUUGCAGGGUAUAGACCCGAAACCCGGUGAUCUAGCCAUGGGCAGGUUGAAGGUUGGGUAACACUAACUGGAGGACCGAACCGACUAAUGUUGAAAAAUUAGCGGAUGACUUGUGGCUGGGGUGAAAGGCCAAUCAAACCGGGAGAUAGCUGGUUCUCCCCGAAAGCUAUUUAGGUAGCGCCUCGUGAACUCAUCUUCGGGGGUAGAGCACUGUUUCGGCUAGGGGGUCAUCCCGACUUACCAACCCGAUGCAAACUACGAAUACCGAAGAAUGUUAUCACGGGAGACACACGGCGGGUGCUAACGUCCGUCGUGAAGAGGGAAACAACCCAGACCGCCAGCUAAGGUCCCAAAGUCAUGGUUAAGUGGGAAACGAUGUGGGAAGGCACAGACAGCCAGGAUGUUGGCUUAGAAGCAGCCAUCAUUUAAAGAAAGCGUAAUAGCUCACUGGUCGAGUCGGCCUGCGCGGAAGAUGUAACGGGGCUAAACCAUGCACCGAAGCUGCGGCAGCGACACUAUGUGUUGUUGGGUAGGGGAGCGUUCUGUAAGCCUGCGAAGGUGACCUGUGAGGGUUGCUGGAGGUAUCAGAAGUGCGAAUGCUGACAUAAGUAACGAUAAAGCGGGUGAAAAGCCCGCUCGCCGGAAGACCAAGGGUUCCUGUCCAACGUUAAUCGGGGCAGGGUGAGUCGACCCCUAAGGCGAGGCCGAAAGGCGUAGUCGAUGGGAAACAGGUUAAUAUUCCUGUACUUGGUGUUACUGCGAAGGGGGGACGGAGAAGGCUAUGUUAGCCGGGCGACGGUUGUCCCGGUUUAAGCAUGUAGGCUGGUUAUCCAGGCAAAUCCGGAUAAUCAAGGCUGAGGUGUGAUGACGAGGCACUACGGUGCUGAAGUAACAAAUGCCCUGCUUCCAGGAAAAGCCUCUAAGCAUCAGGUAACAUCAAAUCGUACCCCAAACCGACACAGGUGGUCAGGUAGAGAAUACCAAGGCGCUUGAGAGAACUCGGGUGAAGGAACUAGGCAAAAUGGUGCCGUAACUUCGGGAGAAGGCACGCUGGUGUGUAGGUGAAGUCCCUGCGGAUGGAGCUGAGACCAGUCGAAGAUACCAGCUGGCUGCAACUGUUUAUUAAAAACACAGCACUGUGCAAACACGAAAGUGGACGUAUACGGUGUGACGCCUGCCCGGUGCCGGAAGGUUAAUUGAUGGGGUUAUCCGUAAGGAGAAGCUCUUGAUCGAAGCCCGGUAAACGGCGGCCGUAACUAUAACGGUCCUAAGGUAGCGAAAUUCCUUGUCGGGUAAGUUCCGACCUGCACGAAUGGCGUAAUGAUGGCCAGGCUGUCUCCACCCGAGACUCAGUGAAAUUGAACUCGCUGUGAAGAUGCAGUGUACCCGCGGCAAGACGGAAAGACCCCGUGAACCUUUACUAUAGCUUGACACUGAACAUUGAGCCUUGAUGUGUAGGAUAGGUGGGAGGCUUUGAAGCGUGGACGCCAGUCUGCGUGGAGCCAACCUUGAAAUACCACCCUUUAAUGUUUGAUGUUCUAACGUUGGCCCCUUACCGGGGUUGCGGACAGUGUCUGGUGGGUAGUUUGACUGGGGCGGUCUCCUCCCAAAGCGUAACGGAGGAGCACGAAGGUUAGCUAAUCCUGGUCGGACAUCAGGAGGUUAGUGCAAUGGCAUAAGCUAGCUUGACUGCGAGCGUGACGGCGCGAGCAGGUGCGAAAGCAGGUCAUAGUGAUCCGGUGGUUCUGAAUGGAAGGGCCAUCGCUCAACGGAUAAAAGGUACUCCGGGGAUAACAGGCUGAUACCGCCCAAGAGUUCAUAUCGACGGCGGUGUUUGGCACCUCGAUGUCGGCUCAUCACAUCCUGGGGCUGAAGUAGGUCCCAAGGGUAUGGCUGUUCGCCAUUUAAAGUGGUACGCGAGCUGGGUUUAGAACGUCGUGAGACAGUUCGGUCCCUAUCUGCCGUGGGCGCUGGAGAAUUGAGGGGGGCUGCUCCUAGUACGAGAGGACCGGAGUGGACGCAUCACUGGUGUUCGGGUUGUCAUGCCAAUGGCACUGCCCGGUAGCUAAAUGCGGAAGAGAUAAGUGCUGAAAGCAUCUAAGCACGAAACUUGCCCCGAGAUGAGUUCUCCCUGAGACUUUAAGUCUCCUGAAGGAACGUUAAAGACGAUGACGUUGAUAGGCCGGGUGUGUAAGCGCAGCGAUGCGUUGAGCUAACCGGUACUAAUGAACCGUGAGGCUUAACCUU
rnacentral:rRNA from 1 species